UACGUAGGGUGCAAGCGUUGUCCGGAAUUAUUGGGCGUAAAGAGCUCGUAGGCGGUUUGUCGCGUCUGCUGUGAAAACGCGAGGCUCAACCUCGCGCCUGCAGUGGGUACGGGCAGACUAGAGUGCGGUAGGGGAGAUUGGAAUUCCUGGUGUAGCGGUGGAAUGCGCAGAUAUCAGGAGGAACACUGAUGGCGAAGGCAGAUCUCUGGGCCGUAACUGACGCUGAGGAGCGAAAGCGUGGGGAGCGAACAGG
rnacentral:rRNA from 1 species